GUGGCCAUUUGCUCACAACUGGCGCCACAUCGGAGAGAGGGCCAGAGGCAGAGUGCAUCAUGGGUAAAUGAGCACACAGCGCCUGGCGUUUUAUAGACGCCGGGCUCGAAAGUGGGGGCAACGUGAGAGAGAGAGAGAUAAAUUGUAUGCUUGACGACAUUAGUGACGAGUUUACAGGAAAACAGAAAAGUGGGUGGCGUCAAAUCUUAACACUCAAACACUUAGCCAUGUACCUGUUAGCCUGGAAUUAGCGUACGGAGUUGUACGGAACGCCAUCACAGUGGAAGUAAAAAUGAACAUCAUAACAAGCUCAAAGAGAGGAGAAACAAACACAGAUGCUCUGUAUUACCAAGUCUCAGAAUCCCUUUGCGGCUCCGUUGUGGUCAUCGGAAGCGUUCCGUAAGAUUGAAAUCCCUCCUGUAGGCUCACACUCGCUCUGUGCGGUGCAGUUCCGUGUCUACCGACACCACAGACGUCAGAAUACUACUCUCUAGACAAGCGACCGUUAUCACCGACUGGGAAGAGGUUCAUCGUGGGAUAUUGCCACCUGGAUGGCACCUCCUUUUCUGGAAACGAGGAGUGCGAAGCCGCUAACGAGUUAGCAUGUCUACAUGGGUGCAAGGUUGUAGGGACCCACACACACACACACACACACACACCCACACACACAGCGACAGUCACUGACAAACAACCCUCUUGACACACACACUUAGGCCAAAACCACCAAACAAAGUCGGCACCACAACAUACACACACAUAUAUACAAAAAAAGAAAUAGCGACACACACGGCGAUAGCGCCUGCAGACUUUCUCUCAGUUUCUUCAGACUUGUUGAUUUUAUAUUUCACAUAAGAAGACAGUAUUCGCAGGUUGCCAUUAAUACUGCAUUCAGGAACCUAUUCGGAAUAUGUUUUUGAAAUAUUCAUUCAUUCAUUUUCCACCGCUUUUUCCUCACAAGAGUCACGGGGGGCGCCGGAGCCCAUCCCAGCCGUCUUUGGGCGAGAGGCGGGGUACACCCUGGACUGGUCACCAGCCAAUCACAGGGCACAUAUAGACAAACAACCAUUCACACUCACAUUCAUACCUAUGAACAAUUUGGAGUCGCCAAUUAACCGAGCAUGUUUUUGGAAUGGAAAGAAAACCCACGCAUGCACAUGAGAAGAUGCAAACUCGAGGGUGGAAUCGAACCCUGGUCUUCGCCUGUUUUUGUAAUAUUUGCAUCAAAAUGGUGAAACGACACUUGAAAGUUCUGCAACGACCAUUCAUGCAAGAAUACACGGAAAAGUUGACCUGCUGAUGAGGGACCUCAAAUUCAGAAAUCACGUUCAGACCUGUCACUCUGUUCACAAAAAAUCUCCAACCUUCUCAUGUUACAAAUUCCACAGACAGACUGCACUUCAAACAAGUGGUCCUUUAAAAGAGGAUCCCACUGCCAGUUCUGCUUGGUAUACAUAAAUGUCACACCACCAGUUCAGGGUACUUUCAUAUCAUCUGCUUAUUUACAUAGCUUUUGCUGUAAGUUGUCAGCUUGGCUUACAAGAGCAGUAACAGUCACAACAAAAAGAUUAUCUCAAAUUACCGCAGCUGUAGCACAAUCUAUGCCUCCACUGUCUUUUCACUCGCUUGGUGUUGAUCCUGUGAAAACCGAGGUAGGUUCGAUUGCAAGGUGUGCCUAAAGCACUUAAUGUGGGCUUCCAAUAAUGCCUAGCACACUUCCAUUUCUAUAUUACUGUAUUAUCAUUCAU